ACUACGGGGGGCUGCAGUGAGGAAUAUUGGUCAAUGGCCGGAAGGCUGAACCAGCCAAGUCGCGUGAGGGACGACUGCCCUAUGGGUUGUAAACCUCUUUUAUAAGGGAAGAAUAAAUGCUACGUGUAGCAUGAUGCCUGUACUUUAUGAAUAAGCAUCGGCUAACUCCGUGCCAGCAGCCGCGGUAAUACGGAGGAUGCGAGCGUUAUCCGGAUUUAUUGGGUUUAAAGGGUGCGUAGGCGGUUUUUUAAGUUAGUGGUAAAACGUCGUGGCUUCACCUUGAAUUGCCAUUAAUACUGGAAGACGCGAGUUCAGACGAGGUAGGCGGAAUAAGUGAAGUAGCGGUGAAAUGCUUAGAUAUAACUUAGAACUCCGAUAGCGAAGGCAGCUUACCAGACUGCGACUGACGCUGAAGCACGAGAGCGUGGGUAGCGAACAGGAUUAGAUACCCGAGUAGUC
rnacentral:rRNA from 1 species